CAAGUCUGGUGCCAGCAGCCGCGGUAAUUCCAGCUCCAAUAGCGUAUAUUAAAGUUGUUGCAGUUAAAAAGCUCGUAGUUGGAUUUCUGUUAAUAAUUUAUAUAAAAUAUUUUGAUGAAUAUUUAUAUAAUAUUAACAUAAUUCAUAUUACUAUAUAUUUUAGUAUAUGAAAUUUUACUUUGAGAAAAUUAGAGUGCUUAAAGCAGGCAUAUGCAUUGAAUACUCCAGCAUGGAAUAAUAUUAAAGAUUUUUAUCUUUCUUAUUGGUUCUAAGAUAAGAAUAAUGAUUAAUAGGGACAGUUGGGGGCAUUUGUAUUUAACAGUCAGAGGUGAAAUUCUUAGAUUUGUUAAAGACAAACUAAUGCGAAAGCAUUUGCCAAGGAUGUUUUCAUUAAUCAAGAACGAAAGUUAGGGGAUCGAAGACGAUCAGAUACCGUCGUAGUCUUAACCAUAAACUAUGCCAACUAGAGAUUGGAGGUUGUUCCUUACUCCUUC
rnacentral:rRNA from 1 species